UACGUAGGGUGCAAGCGUUAAUCGGAAUUACUGGGCGUAAAGCGUGCGCAGGCGGUUAUGCAAGACAGAUGUGAAAUCCCCGGGCUUAACCUGGGAACCGCAUUUGUGGACUGCAUAGCUGGAGUACGGCAGAGGGGGAUGGAAUUCCGCGUGUAGCAGUGAAAUGCGUAGAUAUGCGGAGGAACACCGAUGGCGAAGGCAGUCCCCUGGGCCUGUACUGACGCUCAUGCACGAAAGCGUGGGGAGCAAACAGG
rnacentral:rRNA from 1 species